rnacentral:rRNA from 1 species
GUCUACGGCCAUACCACCCUGAACGCGCCCGAUCUCGUCUGAUCUCGGAAGCUAAGCGGGGUCGGGCCUGGUUAGUACUUAGAUGGGAGAAAAAGAAAUUAAGGAGUCAAUCC